GGAAAUAGCUGGUUCUCCGCGAAAUCUAUUUAGGUAGAGCGUCAGACGAAUACUCCAGGGGGUAGAGCACUGGAUGGGCUAGGGGGACUCACCGUCUUACCAAACCUAACCAAACUCCGAAUACCAGGAAGUAAUAUCUGGCAGACACACUGCGGGUGCUAACGUCCGUAGUGGAGAGGGAAACAACCCUGACCGCCAGUUAAGGUCCCUAAGUCAUGGCUAAGUGGGAAAGGAUGUGAGAAUCCCAAAACAACCAGGAUGUUGGCUUAGAAGCAGCCAUCAUUUAAAGAAAGCGUAACAGCUCACUGGUCUAAAUAAGGGUCUUUGCGCCGAAAAUGUAACGGGGCUAAAACUACACACCGAAACUGCGGGUGCACACUUUGUGUGCGCGGUAGCAGAGCGUUCUGUAAGUCUGUGAAGGGAUACUCGUGAGAGAUCCUGGAGAUAUCAGAAGUGCGAAUGUUGACAUGAGUAACGAUAAAGGGAGUGAGAGACUCCCUCGCCGAAAGUCCAAGGGUUCCUGCUUAAAGUUAAUCUGAGCAGGGUUAGUCGGCUCCUAAGGCGAGGCCGAAAGGCGUAGUCGAUGGGAAUGAGGUUAAUAUUCCUCAACCUGGAGGUAGUGACGGAUCUCGUAUGUUGUCAGUCCUUAUUGGAUUGAACUGGCAGCGAAGAGGUUCCAGGAAAUAGCUCCUCCAUAUAGACCGUACCCCAAACCGACACAGGUGGACAGGUAGAGCAUACCAAGGCGUAUGAGGAAAUGACGUUGAAGGAACUCGGCAAAUUAACCCCGUAACUUCGGGAGAAGGGGUGCCUUUUUAGGGUAACCUAAAGGAGGCGACACAAAAUUGGGGGUGGCGACUGUUUAUCACAAACACAGGACUCUGCAAAGACGAAAGUCGAAGUAUAGGGUCUGACGCCUGCCCGGUGCUGGAAGGUUAAGAGGAGGUGUUCACGCAUCGAAUUGAAGCCCCAGUAAACGGCGGCCGUAACUCUAACGGUCCUAAGGUAGCGAAAUUCCUUGUCGGGUAAGUUCCGACCCGCACGAAUGGCGUAACGAUCUGGGCGCUGUCUCAACGAAGAACUCGGCGAAAUUGAACUGGCCGUGAAGAUGCGGCCUACCCGCAGCCGGACAAAAAGACCCCGUGGAGCUUUACUGCAGUUUGACGCUGGAGGCCGGAUAUGGAUGCGUAGGAUAGGUGGGAGGCUUUGAACCGUUCCUUUUGGGGGGCGGGGAGCCAAUGGUGAAAUACCAC
rnacentral:rRNA from 1 species